AAGCGAGGCGUGCCUUCGGGAGCCGUAAGACAGGUGCUGCAUGGCUGUCGUCAGCUCGUGUCGUGAGAUGUUGGUUAAGUCCCGCAACGAGCGCAACCCCUAUCCUCAGUUGCCAUCAUUAAGUUGGGCACUCUGUGGAGACUGCCGGUGUUAAACCGGAGGAAGGUGGGGAUGACGUCAAGUCCUCAUGGCCCUUAUGACCAGGGCUACACACGUGCUACAAUGGCCGGUACAAAGAGUUGCGAGACCGCGAGGUGGAGCCAAUCUCAGAAAGCCGGUCUCAGUUCGGAUUAGAGUCUGCAACUCGACUCUAUGAAGUUGGAAUCGCUAGUAAUCGCGGAUCAGCACGCCGCGGUGAAUACGUUCCCGGGCCUU
rnacentral:rRNA from 1 species